UGGGGAAUUUUGGACAAUGGGCGAAAGCCUGAUCCAGCAAUGCCGCGUGUGUGAAGAAGGCCUUCGGGUUGUAAAGCACUUUUGUCCGGAAAGAAAUCCUUGGCUCUAAUACAGCCGGGGGAUGACGGUACCGGAAGAAUAAGCACCGGCUAACUACGUGCCAGCAGCCGCGGUAAUACGUAGGGUGCAAGCGUUAAUCGGAAUUACUGGGCGUAAAGCGUGCGCAGGCGGUUUGCUAAGACCGAUGUGAAAUCCCCGGGCUCAACCUGGGAACUGCAUUGGUGACUGGCAGGCUAGAGUAUGGCAGAGGGGGGUAGAAUUCCACGUGUAGCAGUGAAAUGCGUAGAGAUGUGGAGGAAUACCGAUGGCGAAGGCAGCCCCCUGGGCCAAAUACUGACGCUCAUGCACGAAAGCGUGGGGAGCAAAACAGGAUUAGAUACCCUGGUAGUCCACGCCCUAAAACGAUGUCAACUAGUUGUUGGGGAUUCAUUUCCUUAGUAACGUAGCUAACGCGUGAAGUUGACCGCCUGGGGAGUACGGUCGCAAGAUUAAAACUCAAAUGAAUUGACGGGGUCAUAGCUGUUUCCU
rnacentral:rRNA from 1 species